AUUGCCCUCGAAUAAUCGGAUGUUUAAUUCAAUUUCGUUCGGUUCAGACAGGGGCAUACAACAAUGGUUUCGAGCUUGUUAUUCAGAUUUGAUGAUUUUUGAUCUUCUGAAUUAAGUUUGAUGUUAU